UACGUAGGGGGCUAGCGUUGUCCGGAAUCAUUGGGCGUAAAGCGCGUGUAGGCGGUUCGGUAAGUCCGCUGUGAAAGUCGGGGGCUCAACCCUCGGAAGCCGGUGGAUACUGUCGGGCUAGAGUACGGAAGAGGCGAGUGGAAUUCCUGGUGUAGCGGUGAAAUGCGCAGAUAUCAGGAGGAACACCGGUGGCGAAGGCGGCUUUCUGGACAGUAACUGACGCUGAGGCGCGAAAGCUAGGGGAGCAAACAGG
rnacentral:rRNA from 1 species